GAGUUUUUUGUGAGAUUUUUCAGAUAUGUUCUAUUUGCUGACAAUGGUUCAUUCCAACUAGCACUUAACAUGUUGUUAUAAACAUCGCACUGCUAGAAGUCGCCAUUUUCUACAAUAUACUAAUGGUGUAUCGUGUAGUGGACAAAUAUCUAUAAACUGGACUGUCGUGAAUCGUCGACGAUUUUUACGACGGAGUUCAAACUUAUCGACCCAGCAGCUAACUCCGCUGUAUGACAUAAAAGGCAUUGUUAAAUAGACACAGUCAGAAAUAUACCUGCGAAAAAAUUCAAACUCAGUGAUACUAGAAGUAACUGAUCAGAUUUUGAAUGCAGCUUCCAUAAUUUACUACGUCGAAAUGUUCGUCAUCAUCCAACCUAGUAGGAGACAGCGAAAAUUUCACCUGUGGUGGAUGGAUCAGCAUACGAGAUGGCUGGCACGAUUGGAAAUGUUUCCUGAGAUGAAACAGUAUAGGACAAAUAGUAUACGGAUUGAUUGAUCGUCUGCAUUGAGAACGCCUAAGAAACUUUCGAAGCACGUGAGUCUAUCUCAUGAACUAUGCUUUCGCGCGUUUUGCUAGAUCGAUUCCAGCGAAUUAAGAAAACAGUGUUGGACCACGAGUUUCCGAAUUGUAACCAGCAUAACAAUUCUGACAUUUAACUGGUGCUAUUGACUUUGUCUCCUGAUCGAGGAUGAGUUGGUAUCGACACGGUUAGACUAUAUAAUAGUUUCAUGAUAUUUCCAGCAAUAUAACAUAAGCUCUAUUAGAAUCA